rnacentral:lncRNA from 1 species
GGGAGAAUGGGUCCCUAAUGCUCCUAGAGCAAUUGACCCACCCCUGGACUGCUUUCCUCUCAGCGUCUGAUAUGGUUUGGAUGUCUGUCGUCUCCAAAUAUAAUAUUGAAAAUUGAUCCCAGUGUUGAAGACAGGAAGAAGCAGUGCAAAAGAAUUCACACAUGAACUCAGCAAAGCAAAGAGAACUUUCUGAAGCCCUUCACUUCUGCUGUAAGUACAGUACGUGUUUUACCUUCUCUAAUGUGCCCCAUUCCCUGAGUGAGGUCCAUUUCCUCAACGUGAGCUCCAGAACCAUGAUCUUCUUUGCCUUCAAUCCCCAUAUCCAGGCCUUGGGCAGGGCUGUAGGCACUACUCCAAUACCAGAGGCUUCAUCAUGUGCUUUUCCAUAUGCGUCUCUGACCUUAGUGCCUACUGGCCACAAGUUGGCUCAGAGCUUCAUGAAGUCCAGUGUGUUUUACAGCUGACUUGCCUGAAGUGCUGAUUAGGAUAAUUCACGGAAACUGUGCAUCCCUUUGCAACACAGAGCCUCUUUCUGAGAAGUGAACACCAUUUCACCUUCCCAGAGAGUGUUCUCUAUAAUCUAUUCCAAAUGUGAACCACCAAAGCUAUCUGCAAUUUCUAUCGAUUUGGCACAUCUUGAACCUAACAUGAAUUAAAUUUCAGGAAUAAAAAAUUUCAGGACUAUUACUCAGGAGGGAGAAAUCAUUGUUAAAAUAGAAAAAUAGCCUAACCCAGUGGCUCAUGCCUAUAAUUCCAGCACUUAGGUAGGAUAAGGUGGGAGGAUCGCUUGAGCAGGGGAAAUGGAGACCAGCCUGGAUAACAUAGUAAGACCUUGUCUCUACAAAAAAUAAGAAAUUAGCAGGCAUAGUGGUGCACACCUGUAAAACCAGCUAUUUGGGAGGCUGAGAUGGGAGGAUCACUUGAGCCUAGGAAGCUGAGGCGGCAGUGAGGUGGGAUCACACUACUGCACUUCAGCCUGGGUGAUAGAGCAAGACCCUGUUUCAAAAGGAAAAAAAGAGAAAAAGAAAAAUAGUAACAAAGUAAUUUUAAAGUCCAGAUUUCUCUCCUGAGUUUCACAUGUGCAAAUACAGGCUUUGGGGAUUAGUGUUAGGAAGUUAGAUUAUGGUCUGGUGGACAGCUCUAGUGGGAG